rnacentral:rRNA from 1 species
GACGGAGGGGGCUAGCGUUGUUCGGAAUUACUGGGCGUAAAGGGCGCGUAGGCGGAUUAGUAAGUUGGGAGUGAAAGCCCGGGGCUUAACCUCGGAACUGCUUUCAAAACUGCUAGUCUUGAGUGAAGUAGGGGGUGAUGGAAUUCCUAGUGUAGAGGUGAAAUUCUUAGAUAUUAGGAGGAACACCGGUGGCGAAGGCGGUCACCUGGACUUCAACUGACGCUGAGGCGCGAAAGCGUGGGGAGCAAACAGG